CUCCCGCGCCCCGCUCCUCUUGGGUUUCUUGGGCGAGUUCUUGGCGGGGCGGAGUUCUUGGCGGCGGGAUGGGCACGGUAAAGGCCGCGCGAUCUUUGGUUGGGGGCGGAGUUUUUGGCGGCGGGAUGGGUGGGGUAAAGCGAGGAUUCGCGCCUUGGAUCGGGUGGUGGGCGCGCUCUCUCCGGAUUCUUUGCGUGGGGGGUUAGCGGGGCGUUCUUGGCUGGAAAGGGCGCAGCGAUGGUGCGCUGGUUCUUGGGCAUUGGUGCGUUGUGCUAGAAAUUGCAGUUCUUGAUGUUUCUUUACUUGCCAACUUUGUGUGUGGAGGAGUGAUUCUUUACUUGUACACCCAGUUUGUGUGAUUGGGGAAUCCACCUGGCUGCAUGCCUUGCGGAAGACGAGUUCUUUGACCUAGGUUUUAAUCCAUGGAUUCUUUCAAAUGAGGGUUCGUCUUUAUCGCUGUUGGCUGCACGAGGUCUCAAGGGGGGAAAUAAGCUCUGUAGAUCGGUUAAGGUCCAAAGAAUUUGUAGAUCCCAGCAAAUGAAGAGCCUGUUGUUGUUUCUUUGUGUCAGAUUCCUGCAAACAUUCUUGGAAGUGAAGGAUUAGUGUUUUACCACCGCAUUCUGUAGCCUCUAUGGUUUGCAUUUGAGAGAUUCCGUCUGUACGAACAUUGAUGGCCAUGAGAGGUUUAGGUGCCAUCUGUAGCUUCGUCUACAUGAAGCUCUUUAAGUUUUUACAAUGCCUUGUUCGUGCUAGGCAUGUAUGGUUACCGGUUGAUUGGCAGAAAAGCAGUACUGUAUCUUGGGAGAAGUUUGGAGGGAGGCUGCCAGGUGCUCUGCAGAACAGCGUAAUGGCUGAAACCUACAUGCUGUCAACUUGUUAUUGACAACAUCAAUACUCUUUUGUUUUGCUUGUGAUAGAUGCUCAAUUAUUCAUAAUUGUGUGCCCUCUGGUGUCAAAUAUGAUUGAAAGCUGUCUGAACUUCAGAAAGACAUCUAUCGCUUCAUUUGG
rnacentral:lncRNA from 1 species